UACGGAGGGGCUAGCGUUGUUCGGAAUUACUGGGCGUAAAGCGCACGUAGGCGGCUUUGUAAGUUAGAGGUGAAAAGCCCCAGGGGCUUAACCCUGGAAUUGCCUUUAAGACGUGCAUCGCUAGAAUCGUGGAGAGGUGAGUGGAAAUUCCGAGUGGUAGAGGGUGAAAAUUCGUAGAUAUUCGGAAAGAAACACCGGUGGCGAAGGGCGGGUGAAGCUGGG
rnacentral:rRNA from 1 species